GAUGAACGCUGGCGGCGUGCCUAAUACAUGCAAGUCGAGCGAACGGACGAGAAGCUUGCUCCUCUGAUGUUAGCGGCGGACGGGUGAGUAACACGUGGAUAACCUACCUAUAAGACUGGGAUAACUUCGGGAAACCGGAGCUAAUACUGGAUAAUAUUUUGAACCGCAUGGUUCAAAAGUGAAAGACGGUCUUGCUGUCACUUAUAGAUGGAUCCGCGCUGCAUUAGCUAGUUGGUAAGGUAACGGCUUACCAAGGCAACGAUGCAUAGCCGACCUGAGAGGGUGAUCAGCCACACUGGAACUGAGACACGGUCCAGACUCCUACGGGAGGCAGCAGUAGGGAAUCUUCCGCAAUGGGCGAAAGCCUGACGGAGCAACGCCGCGUGAGUGAUGAAGGUCUUCGGGUCGUAAAACUCUGUUAUUAGGGAAGAACAUAUGUGUAAGUAACUGUGCACAUCUUGACGGUACCUAAUCAGAAAGCCACGGCUAACUACGUG
rnacentral:rRNA from 1 species